CAGCCGCCGCGGGAACACGGAGGGUGCAAGCGUUAUCCGGAUUUAUUGGGUUUAAAGGGUCCGUAGGCGGAUCUGUAAGUCAGUGGUGAAAUCUCACAGCUUAACUGUGAAACUGCCAUUGAUACUGCAGGUCUUGAGUAAAUUUGAAGUGGCUGGAAUAAGUAGUGUAGCGGUGAAAUGCAUAGAUAUUACUUAGAACACCAAUUGCGAAGGCAGGUCACUAAGAUUUAACUGACGCUGAUGGACGAAAGCGUGGGGAGCGAACAGGAUUAGAUACCCGUGUAGUCCCUGUCUCUUAUAC
rnacentral:rRNA from 1 species